rnacentral:rRNA from 1 species
AUGUUCAGACGCAGGCUGAAUGCAGACCUGUGCUAUCAAUUCGAUGAGGUCAAAAAAAUUGUUGACAACAUUGACACUUCGGCUGGUCCAGAUAAGAUUGUGUGGGCUGCUGGACCCAAAGGCAAAUAUACCACUAAAUCCAUGUAUUCUUAUCUGGAGAGAGAUCUUGCUGGUUGUGACUAUAAAUGGAUUUGGGGCCAAUUACCUACCAAAAUCCAGAUUUUCCUUUGGCAACUUUUCCAGGAUGCUGUCCUGACUAGGGAUGUUAUGAAGCGUCGGAACUGGGCUAGCAAUCCCAGUUGUUCUUACUGCGAUUGCACAGAAACCUAUCUACAUUUGUUCUUUCUCUGUCCAGUGCCAAGGGUAGCCUGGCGCACUGUGGGGGCGAUGCUUGGGUCCGAUUUAUGUCCCAACAAUCUGUGCCAGUUUUACUCUUGGUGCUAUGCAUUUCUUCCUCAAGGGGAACGAUAUUUCACUAUGGGGCUGGCGGCUAUAUGUUGGGCUAUUUGGAAUCGUAGAAACCAGGCUACUUUUGAAUUCAAGAAAUUGUCAUCUCCUUUUGAGAUUAUUUCAAUGCUUUGA